CAGCAUCCACGGACAGACCUUGAACAAUCUGGUGUUGUUCUUUUGGUUGGCACUAGGAUGAGAAAGAAAGAAAAACAAAAAUCCCUGCACUUUCUGUCCAUCUUUGUGGUGGCCCAGAUUGAAUAGGAGACAACAUCU